rnacentral:lncRNA from 1 species
GAGGAUCAGUUGAAGAACUGAUUUUGCAACUUCAGAACAAUCAGUUGGUCCGUUCAUUCAAAAACUUGGACAUCGAUGCUAGUAGAAAUUCCACAGGAUGGAAGCCAGUAUUGCCAAGUAUACCUGAAGCUUGCUAGUUUCGUUGUAAAACUUAUACAUCUCAAGGACUAGAAGAGGCAUAGAGCGUAGAGGAUUACUGUUAUGGCUUAAUUGAUUACUCUAUUUUUGACUGAAUUUAGUUUACUUGCUUAAUGAAAUAGGUUUCCAAUUAAUUACAGCCAGCACAUAUAACUACAUAUAUAAACUGCAUAUUCGUUUCUCAAACUCAACAACACGCUGCAUACAAACAUAAACAUCCUAAAUAGUGGACUAUUUACAUCUUUUUCUCCAAUAGGUUGCUACCUAAAAUGCCACAGCAGCUUGUCUGCAUAAAUAUUUGUUGUUACAUACAUCUUAUUUGUAUAAACAACAAACCAGAAAUAUAUUUGGAGGGUACUGUAAUGCCUCAGUGAUCAAAAGGAAAUUAAUGUCGAUGAUUAUGGUCACACGAUUAUUAUAGAUACAGAAUAACCUGAAAUGGAAGACUUAUAAACUAUGAUAUGUCAUAGUUUAUUCAUUCUGAAAAAGAAAAAAAAAAAUUAUUGAGUGGAUAAAGAUAAUGAAAUGGUCAUUUCAUUUUACAUAUAUGCCACAUAUAUAACUGUGCACACUUCAAGUCUGCAUAACCCUCUGUGUUCGAGCAUAGCUUUUUUCAUUCCCGUGUCUGCAUUAUCAGAAUUUGAAUGCUUCUUUAUGAUCAUCGAAACAAGAGGGAUUUUUAUCCAAUACAACGUAUUUACCACCAAAUAAUUUCGAGGAACAUCACUCACUAGUAGCUUAUGAUUCAGUAACUACGCUACUGAGAAUGCAUGGAUACCUCAUACCUCCCAGUCGCAUUUCCCAUAUUAACAGCUGAAUCUUUUUCCUUCCAGUGAUUUAAACAUAUUUAAUCAAAAGAAUAAACAACAGAAGUCUACGCUAAAUUACAUGAUGCAAUUGUUCUUCUUUAGUUUUCCCCACUUUCAUUAUGUUUAUGCAGAAACUAGACCUUAGCCAUGUCUUGAUUCUGCCAAUUAAUUAAUUAAUUAAUUAGCAGCUGUUUUUUGCUUGUCUACACUAUUCAACACAUGUUUUGCACAUUUAACACAGGAGGAUCCCUGUAUUUAUUUACCUUCUAGACCAAAUUUGAAAUGAAAUCACCUUAAUACGUAGUAAAGCAGAUGAAUUACUGUUCCUGACGAGUCGCGUUUGCAUAAAAUAGUUGUAUUAGCCAGGUAAUUAAUACAUAUUUAAUUAUAUUACUCAGCACAUCAGUAAAAGUAAAUUAAGAUAAAGCCGGCCAGUCAUCAGAAAUAAAUUACAUGCAUUGUGCAGACUUAUCACAUUAUCCUCGUUGGUCCACUACUAAUAUGUUGGACUUGGAGGUUUGUAAAUAGUACAAUCCAAACAUGUCAGUCUCAUUUCAACGAGGAAACUGUCAGGAUUAUGCAUAUGCUCAUUUGGUUCUGUGUGACUGUGUCUACAUUGGAAGGGUGAUCCUAAACCUCUCCUAUAAGUACAACAGAAAUGUUCACUUCAAAACAUCAACCAAAGCACAUCUGUUUUCUAGCUCUCUGUCUUGUUAAACUACCGCAGAAUUCUUCAACUUCAACACAACUAUGGGAAAUUGCUUGGCGCUACAAGAAAAGUUUGUCCAGGUUGUGAAAACGGACGGGAAAAUCCUUGAAUAUAGAGCCCCUUUGAAAGUACAUCAAGUUCUGUCGGAAUAUCCUGGUCAUGAAAUAUCUCUGACACCUCUGGUGAUCCGACGGCUCCAGGCGGAUGCCAAUAUGCGUGCAGGUCAUGUUUACUAUCUUUUACCACUCUCGGUUCCUUCACUGGAACUCAACCAGUAUUCAAACACAAAAGAAGUAUCCGAACAGGAAAAUCAUGGCGUUGUGAGGAUCAAGCUGCUUAUUAGAAAGCAAGACCUGGAGGAGAUGCUAGGCCAAGGAGGACCAGUUGAACAACUGAUUUUGCAACUUCAAAACAAACAGUUGGUCCGUUCAUUCAAAAAUUUGGAGAGUGAUGCUAGUAAAAAUUUCACAGGAUGGAAGCCAGUAUUGCCAACUAUACCUGAAGCUUGCUAGUUUUGUUCCUAAGCUUUCUGCAUCUUAAGAACUAGAAGAGGCAUAGAGCGUAGAGAUUACUGUAAUGGCUUAAUAGAUUAGUCUAUAUACCCGACUGAAGUAGUGAAGUUAUUCAAUAUUGUACUUGCUCCGAUAUAUGUCA